AAUGUGAAUAUCUUUAACAGCGAUAACCCUAACCCGUUGGCCCAUUUAGCAAGAGCCGCCAUUGGUUUGUUUGUCAUACGCUCAUAAAUACAUAGAACUACUCCUUCCUACCUCUCUUCUCUUCUCGGCUCUCUUCGCCUCUUCUCCAUUGGAAUUCUUAUAAAAUUAUCAAUUUCAGUAUUCAAAAGACUUCCUUCUCCACGAAUCUCGUUUCCGUCGUACCGAUUUCUGCCUAUUUGGUAUAUGUAAGGGAGAGAAGGCGAGGACUUUGUGAUAAUUAAACUCGCGAUCUUACAUAUUUUGUUUGAGAUAAGAUUGUGCAAGCAAGUAGAUUGGAUUGACACUAAUUUGACAUACAAAUGUAAAAGAAUGAUAUAUUCCUGAGCUGGGUGUGACAACUUUAGAUAAGGUCAACUCAAUUACAUUGUUGUGCUCCAUUACUAAUAAUAAACUCAACCCUUUUAUAUAUAGUACAAAGACAGGCAAAUAAACUUAUCUAUGACAAGCAAAUGGGCAUGUCUUUUAAGGGCAAUAAACGAACAUGUCUCUGCUCGCCAACCACUCAUGAGGGCUCUUUCCGGUGCAGCAUCCAUCGCGCUCGACACAAGUUCCGGUCAAUAUCUUCAACAACAAAGGCUAGCAUUAGGAAACUUGAUCCCAACAAUACAUCAAAGGCUAGCUUGCUUAAAGCCUUUUUGUUUGAGAUUAUAAAUCCAUCAAGGCAUGAUCUUCAUAGGCAAAGUCAAUUCAGACCUAGACCUACCAGGUUUCAUAAUUCGGACCUUCAAUGUAAAUAACUUGCGUUUUAAGUGAAGUGAGUCUUUAAUUUGUGAGCUACUUUUGUAAAAGAUCAUCUAUCAAUAGACGACUUUAAAAUAAAGAGCUUAUAUACUAAUAAUUAUAUUA